UACGUAGGGGGCUAGCGUUGUCCGGAAUCAUUGGGCGUAAAGAGCGUGUAGGCGGCCCGGUAAGUCCGCUGUGAAAGUCGGGGGCUCAACCUCGAGACGCCGGUGGAAACCGUAAGGCUAGAGUCCGGAAGAGGAGAGUGGAAUUCCUGGUGUAGCGGUGAAAUGCGCAGAUAUCAGGAAGAACACCCGUGGCGAAGGCGGCUCUCUGGGACGGUACUGACGCUGAGACGCGAAAGCGUGGGGAGCGAACAGG
rnacentral:rRNA from 1 species